UGCACUUCAGAAAUAAGAUUUUCCUUUUUUUUUUUUUCCUAUUAUGUUAUAUUCUACAAUAUACAGAACUCAUAAAAAUACAAAUUUCGCCAAAUUAUUAAAGAAUUUAUAGUGGAGGAACUUCUCACUUGUCAAUAAUGACGGUCAUCUGAAAGGUUCAACUGGUGCUGUCUCUUCAAGAAAGGCUGCAGCUUUGAAACAUUCAGCUGCUUCUUGAAAGGAGGAUGCACUACCCUCAGCUUUAUAAAGUAAACCCAGAUUAUACCAUGCAGAUGAAUUCAUUCUGUCAAGCCG
rnacentral:misc_RNA from 1 species